rnacentral:rRNA from 1 species
CAGCGCGCAAAUUAUCCCAUCCCGACACGGGGAGAUAGUGACAUAAAUACAAUAUAGGCUCUUUGGGUCUUAUAAUUGGAAUGAGUACAAUUUAAAUCCCUUAACGAGGAUCAAUUGGAGGGCAAGUCUGGUGCCAGCAGCCGCGGUAAUUCCAGCUCCAAUAGCGUAUAUUAAAGUUGUUGCCGUUAAAAAGCUCGUAGUCGAACUUCGGCUUCUGCCGCCCGGUCCGCCUUUUUGGGUGUGUACUGGAGCGGUGGAGGCUUACCUCGUGGUGAGCAAUCAUACCCUUCACUGGGCGUGGUUGGGAACCAUGAUUUUUACUUUGAAAAAAUUAGAGUGUUCAAAGCAGGCUUACGCCCGAAUACAUUAGCAUGGAAUAAUAAAAUAGGACGUGCGGUUCUAUUUUGUUGGUUUCUAGGAUCGCCGUAAUGUUAGGGGAUCGAAAACGAUCAGAUACCGUUGUAGUCUUAACAGUAAACGAUGCCGACUAGGGAUCGGACGAGGAUUUUUAAUGACUCGUUCGGCACCUGAAGAGAAAUCUUUAAGUCUAGGUUCGGGGGGGAGUAUGGUCGCAAGGCUGAAACUUAAAGGAAUUGACGGAAGGGCACCACCAGGUGUGGAGCCUGCGGCUUAAUUUGACUCAACACGGGGAAACUCACCAGGUCCAGACACGACAAGGAUUGACAGAUUGAUAGCUCUUUCUUGAUUUCGUGGUUGGUGGUGCAUGGCCGUUCUUAGUUGGUGGAGUGAUUUGUCUGGUUAAUUCCGAUAACGAACGAGACCUUAACCUGCUAAAUAGCCGUCCGGCUUGGCUGGUCGCUGGCUUCUAGAGGACUAUCAGCGUUAGCUGAUGGAAGUUGAGGCAUAC